rnacentral:lncRNA from 1 species
AUGUCCCAUCCCUCUUUAUUCCACUCUUUCAUCACCCACCUAACCCAGCCCAGCCCUCCUUCCUGUCAUCCUCCAUCACCCUCCACCCCAUUCCUCCUUCCUGUGCUCCAUCAGCUACCACAUCCCAUCCCUUCUCCUGUGUGCCUCCUUCUAUGUCCCACCCGUCCUUCUGCUGCUCCUCCAUUGUCCACCCAUCCCUCCUUCCUGUGCUGUCACCCAGUGUGUCCCAUCCCGCCCUGCCACCCUCCUCCAUCACCCACCAGGUCCCAUCUUUCCUUUCUGUGCUCCUCCAUCAGCCACCAUGUCCUUUCCCUCCUUCCUGUUCUCCUGCAUCCUCCAUCAUGUCCUAUCCCUUCUUGUGCUCCAGUCACCUGUGACCUCCUAUCCCUCCACAUCCCACCUCUCCUUCCACACGUUCCAGAGUGUGCUAUCAGCUGUGUCCCAUCCCUCCCUGCCAUGCUAUGCUCUUCCAUUACCCACCAUGUCCCCUCCCACUCUCCCUGCAUCCUACACAUCUUCUCCCUCCUUGUUCUUCUCCACCACCCACCAUCUCCGACCCCUGCUUCCUGUGCUCCUCCAUUGCCCUCCAUAUCCACCUUCCAGUCUUCCUGUCACAUUUGCAUCCCAUCCCUCUCACCUGCCCUUCCCUCAUUCACCACACCCCAUUCCUUGUUAUCCUCAUUCACCUCCACCAUCUCCUCAUGUCUUCUCUUCCUUCUUCACCUCCACCCUGUGCUAUCCAUCCUCAUCCUGCUUUGCCUCCAGCUUUCCAUAUUCAUGUCAACAUCUCACCAUCUCUUCUUCAGCUCCCACCAUCAGUCCUCUACAUCUUACCAUCAUCUUGUCCCUGCUUAUCCUCCAUUAGCUCCCACCUCCACCCCAUGUUCAACUUCUUCCACUCUUCAUCUUCUCCACACCUUUCUUCAUUCUCUUCUAUCUCUUCCUGUCUCCUCACUCAACUUCCUCCACUUCCCCAUCCCAAAAUCCACCCUCACCCCCCACCAUUUCCCCAUCCCCUCAACUGCAUCACCCAAAUUUGCCUUCUCCUCCUCCACCCUCACAUUUCCAAUCCCCCCUUGUGCUAUUUUCCACCAUCUCCUCAUCCAUCCUACUCCAUUGCCCUCCAGUCUUUAUCUUCUUCUAUCCCUUAGAUGUCUCUUCAUCACUCCUGUCAUUUUCAUCCAUAUCCCAGUCUCCUCAUCCUUUCUCUUCUCAAUCUCCUCUCCCUCCUUUUCCUCCACCACCUGCCAUAUGUCCAGUCUCUUUAUCCUCCCCAGCCUCUCUUUUCUUCUUCAUUGUCCUUUCUACCAUCUCCCAUACCUUCUCCCUCAUCCUCCAUCUCAUACUUCUUAUUCCUCCACCUCAAUCUCUCUGAGUCUCUCCUUCCUGUGA